rnacentral:piRNA from 1 species
UGUCACAGCAAUAGCCCACGAACCUCGUAU